AUACUCCAGUGGCGGACGGGUGAGUAACGCGUGAGAAUCUGCCUUCUGGUCGGGGACAACCACUGGAAACGGUGGCUAAUACCGGAUGAGCCGAAGGGUAAAAGAUUAAUUGCCAGAAGAGGAGCUCGCGUCUGAUUAGCUAGUUGGUGGGGUAAAGGCUCACCAAGGCAUCGAUCAGUAGCUGGUCUGAGAGGACGAUCAGCCACACUGGGACUGAGACACGGCCCAGACUCCUACGGGAGGCAGCAGUGGGGAAUUUUCCGCAAUGGGCGAAAGCCUGACGGAGCAAGACCGCGUGAGGGAAGAAGGCUCUUGGGUCGUAAACCUCUUUUGUUAGGGAAGAACACAAUGACGGUACCUAACGAAUCAGCCUCGGCUAACUCCGUGCCAGCAGCCGCGGUAAUACGGAGGAGGCAAGCGUUAUCCGGAAUUAUUGGGCGUAAAGCGUCCGCAGGUGGCUAUUCAAGUCUGCGGUCAAAGACUGGGGCUUAACCCUGGAAAGGCCGUGGAAACUGAAGAGCUAGAGUGCAGUAGGGGUAGAGGGAAUUCCCGGUGUAGCGGUGAAAUGCGUAGAGCUCGGGAAGAACAUCGGUGGCGAAAGCGCUCUGCUGGACUGCA
rnacentral:rRNA from 1 species